AUGAUAUUCCACUGUCUGGAUGUGCCACAGUCUCAUCCUUUCACCUCCUGGAGGACAUCUUGGUUGCUUCCAAGUUUGGGCAAUUACAGAUAAAGCUGCUAUAAAAACCCGUGUGCAGGUUUUCGUGUGGACAUAAAUUUCCAGCUCCAUUGGUUGUUCCAGCACCAUUUGUUGAAAAGACUGUUUUGCUUUGUUGUAUUGUCUUCGCUCCUCUGUCAAAGACCGAAGACGAGCAGCUGCCUUUAACGAUGAAUGAAGAAGCCGGCCCAGCUGUAUGCCCUUGGCUUUGAGGUGGGCGGUUCCUCUUUAAACUUCCUCCUGGACGUACAGAUCUGGGAGUGACGGGGUCAGAGAAAGCUGCUUCCACCAAGGUUGGCCUUUUCCACGGUGAGACAAUGACUCAGCACGUCUUUCCAGCUCCAGGGUCCAGGCCUUCCUACGUCUUGCUGUGUGUGACUUUUUCUGAGAGAGGAAGGGGCCUGCGUCCACAUGGGGUUUGAAUGGGGGCGGGGAUUUUGCCCAGGGUCAGCCAUCCACAAGCAACAAACAAACAAACAAACAAACGAAGAGGGGACUGCAGUUCCUAGAAGCUCCUUCACUUGAGGGAAAUGUUCUCUUUUCCAGCCCAUUAGCAUAACCGUCUUAGCAUAACCGUCUUCCACGGUGAGUUCAGACUGUGGGGAACUUCUCAGAUAGAGUCAUCGGUGUGCGGCCCUGGGCAGCUCCUCCCGGGAGGAGGCCUGUGGAUGGAGUAACCAUGAGUCACUCCUGUAAAUGAGAAAUGAAUGAACUAGUUCCAUGAGCCCCUCUGAGCCCUACCUUUGCCAGCACAGGGAGUGACAGGGGCAGCUGCCUCCUGGCCCUUCGGAGCCCCCCCCCCCAUUCAACUUGGCUCUCCCAGGUGGCAGGCCAGAAGCCAGCAGAUGGUGCCCAUGUGAGGGUGGGAUGUCACCUGGAGGUGACCUCAGGUCACCAGCCACCAGCCUCCUUCUCUUCCUGCUUCUUCAACCCUUUAGCACCUGGAGAGCUGGCCCUGCCCUCUGACCUCCUCUGACCUCCUUCCGGGAGACAGCGGGU